UACGUAGGGCGCAAGCGUUUGUCCGGAAUUAUUGGGCGUAAAGAGCUCGUAGGCGGCUUGUCACGUCGGGGUGUGAAAGCCCGGGGCUUAACCCCGGGUCUGCAUUCGAUACGGGGCUAGCUAGAGUGUGGUAGGGGGAGAUCGGAAUUCCUGGUGUAGCGGUGAAAUGCGCAGAUAUCAGGAGGAACACCGGUGGCGAAGGCGGAUCUCUGGGCCAAUUACUGACGCUGAGGAGCGAAAAGCGUGGGGGAGCGAAACAGGG
rnacentral:rRNA from 1 species